rnacentral:tRNA from 1 species
UUUUUAUAGUUUAAGUAAAAUAUUACACUGAAAAUGUAAAGAUAUUUGUUAAAAA